CACCACCUGGUCACUAAUAAGGAGUUUAUUCACCACGGUGAAAUAAUAUUCACUUUGUACUUCGGUUAACUUUUCAAACAAACAAAUUAUACUGUUGGUGACAUCUGCACGUCUAAGCUCCGGCUGCUGGUGGUGCGGGACCUAUGACACUGGAAGAGAAACAGGCAGUCUGUUCUGCCAACCAACUGCAGAGUAAAGAUGAAGAGAAAAGGCUUUGGGGAAACCUCAUGACAAAAUGACGCCUAUAUGGAGUUCAUAUGUAUUUCAGAAAUCAGAUUAUAUUUUAUAUGGAUAUAUUUCAGGGUCACCACUAAGGUACUUGUACUCCUGGGGUCUAUUAACCCAAGGUCCUAAAAGUUAUUUUUGAAAGCUUUGCGUUUUCUCCAGAUAAUCUCCUACCAUUAUGAAGUACUGCCUGAAGGUCUGGCCAGAAGAAACCUGAAGAGUGAAAUCAAAGCUGUUUAUCUCACUUGGCGAUAUCGUACCACGAGCAACUGGAAAGAAAAGAAACCCAGCUUUCUUUUCCAGUCCAUGAGGACUGAGAGAAAUAUCAGCGCUUCACGCUGUAGGCAUCAGUGACUGAGCAUGAAAUGGAUGCUGUCCAGUAUCAAGCAUGGGCCAUGUCCAAAUGGGAGAAGAUCACCAUCAUUGAGGUUAUAUAAAGCACCACCAGGGCAGGCCUGCAACAUGAUCAGGCAAUUCAUUUUCUGGACAAGGUGUACUGCAGUAUUGGGACCAUGAUAGGAGCAUGGUGUGUAUGCCAUAUAUCUGCUGGCAGACAUAAAAAAGACAAUGUUAUCUUCCAGAGAAAGAGAAUGAAAAAAGAAACGAUCUUGAGGAAAUGUCUCCUGCACAGCUGUAGCAGGCAGGCACACAGCCAAGCGAAAUAUGCAGACCUGCCAAAGCGCAUUACAACCGCAAAACAGGGGAUUGUCUUUUCUAGUGCCGUUAGUUACUUUGUCAAGUUAUAAUUGAUUUGAGGGAGGAAAACCUGACUGUUUUGAAAAACACCCAGCCACAAGUAAUCAAAAAUGCUGUGUUUCAUGUGGUAAUGCGCUACACAUCUCCCUCUUACAGUAAGAGAGACACAGUUUUGCAAUAAGGAAUAUGAUUGAAAUACUGCAAUGCAUAAAAAACCUGACAGGUUUCUUAAUGAGAGUUAUCUAGAAAAAUGGCCGCAUGAUUGGUCUUCAGAGCCAUGAGAUGUUUAGCACAUUCCAAGACAUCUGUUCUGAUGUAUGCACCAUGUUUUUGAGGUUUUUUCUCAUGCAAAAUGUGUACUUGCCAGACACCAUGCUGUAGACAGGCCAAUCUCUCAGAGGAAGCGUUCCGUCCGAUAAACUCAGCUGACUUAUCUUCACUGAGACACCACCUCUCCCUUCCAUGCUCUGUGGAUGGAUUUUCUGUUUUUAAGGGCUGCGGUCAUGGUAAGGUGAAACUCUGAAGCUCGCAGUCUACUGGCCACCAUGGCCAUCUCAGAGAGGAGCAGCCCUGCCCUGCAUCCUCAGAGUCCCGCUGGAAAACUUAACAGUGGCCACUUAAACAGCACCGGACGAGGCGCAGUGCAAGACCAGACGGGAAACCUCAACAAACAGUGUGC